rnacentral:lncRNA from 1 species
UUCUAGUUAGCCUAAAAUUUUAGAAAAAUGCUGUUUGUACACGCUCAAAGGAGAUGUAUGAUUUACAUCCCAUUCAUCUAAAAUGAGAUGAAUUUUACUAGUCAUAUUAAUGUGACUAAUUAAUAAGUUUCUAUCGUAAGAUGGAUAGGAUGUAUAUUAUACACCUCAUUUAGAAUAUAUGAGUAGUAUUGCUCAAAAUUUUAUACUAUUAGUAGACUAUAAAUUUUAUUAUUCUCACACAUUUAAAAAUUGAUUUAUUUUUUUCAAAAUUUAAAGUAUUAAAAAAAAUUAGUAAAUAAAUAUUAGUCUCUGAAUUGAUAUAUCGUUAGAUUUACACUGUCCAUACAUGUAUUAUGAGGAAUGCUAUUUAUAUAUUCUAUACCUGUCAUAUUAAUAUUUUUCAGAACAAUUGCUUAAAUAUUUCUGAAAAAUUUUUGAUUUUCUUAUUUACUCUUUUUAGAAGCCUGAUAUUAAAAAUAUUCUUUUAACAUUCUAAGUUAUUUCAAAUAUAGCUCUAGAGUUAAAUUUUGCUAGUGAACUGUUAGCAACAUCCGUUGUCUCUGUAAAAUUACUAUUUUACCUUUUCAAAUAUACCGUUCCACCGUCAAUAAUUUUUUUAUUUGCUUUUAAGUCAGGGAUAAAAGAAAUAUUUUGAUUUUUUAUCUUUUCAAAUAUACCCUUAUAUCAUCACCAACUUUUCUUAUUUGUCCACAAGUUAGAAAGAAAAAAGGUAUUUUAAUUUUUUUUUAAAUAUGGUAGAAAUUUAUUGUGGAUUAAUCCGAUAUAAUUUAAGGGAUACUAAUAGUAGGGACAUUUUUGAAUAACAGAUAAAAAUAUAUUAGGGGUAUAUUUGAAAUAAAAAAAGUAGGGAUAUAUUAGAGUUUUUAGAAGUAUAGAAAAUUAUUCCUAAAGGCUGUGUUUGGUUCAGAUAUAAGUAAGAACUGCUUAUUCUAGAGAUAUAUACAAAUUCAGAUAUAGUAGGAGCUAGGUCGAUUUUGCGUUUAGAUGAAAAUUGGGUUACUCAUAAAAAUAAGGUAAAUAGUGUUUGGAUGGUUAGAUUGGAAUAAGGGGAAUAAGAGUUAUAAUUUUAAAUUAAAAUUAUUUUAUCUAAUUAAUUAACAUCAAAAUAUUACAUAAAAAUAAUUUAAUAAAUUAAUAAAUUUAUUAGCUAUGAAUAUUGUAUAAGAUAAUAAAAAUAUAUUAAUUAAUUAAAUAUAAAAAUUAAUUUAACUUUUUAAUCAGUCAGUAAAUUAGUUUACUUAGAUAAUUAGUUAAAAAAAUAAUUAGAUUAAUAAAAAUAUUAAUGGUUAAUCAAUAUAAAUAUUAAUUUAUAGAUCAAUACAUUAAAUUAUUAAAAAUUAAUUAUAAAUAAUAAAUAAAUUGCUUAAUUAAAUAUAUUAAUUAGAUUAAUUAAUAUAUUAAUACCAUAAUUUAAAUUAAAUUUAGACUUUAAUUAAUCUUAUAGAACAAGUUUGUUUAAGAAAAAAGAGUGAAAGAUGCCUUAUAACCGGCUUAUUUUAAAAAUUUAAAAAUUACUGUUUUUGAGUACGGAACACAAUAUUUAAAAACAAAAAAAGAACGAGAGCUUAUUAUCCCAUUAUUUCCGAAUUAGAUACUGCCAAAAGAAAUAUAUUUAGGCCCUGUUUGGAUACAUAGUUAAAAAAUUUCAUGAAAUUUUUAUUCGGUGGUUUUGGUCUAAAUAAAAUACGAAAUUCUGUGACUAAAAAAAAAUUCCACAGCUUCAUUUUUAAACUGUUUGGAUACAUAUCAUGCAAUCCAUAGGAUUUAUAACAAUUAAAUUUUUAAGAUUUUAAAAUUCAAAAUUUAAAAUUUAAAAUUUAAAAUUUAAAAUUAAAAUUUUAAAAAAUUAAAAAUUAAAAUUUAAAAAUUUAAAAAUUAAAUUAAAUUAAAUUUUUAAAUUAGAAAUUUAAAAAUUUAAAAUUUUAAAUUUGAAAUUUGAAAUUUGAAAUUUGAAA